GCCUUCGUGGUGUAGUGGUCAGCACGCUCGACGCGUAUUCGAGAGGUCCGUGGUUCGAAUCCCAGCGAGGGCA
rnacentral:tRNA from 1 species